rnacentral:rRNA from 1 species
AUUGAACGCUGGCGGCAUGCCUUACACAUGCAAGUCGAACGGUAACGCGGGGCAACCUGGCGACGAGUGGCGAACGGGUGAGUAAUAUAUCGGAACGUGCCCAAUAGUGGGGGAUAGCCCGGCGAAAGCCGGAUUAAUACCGCAUACGACCUGAGGGUGAAAGCGGGGGAUCGCAAGACCUCGCGCUAUUGGAGCGGCCGAUAUCAGAUUAGGUAGUUGGUGGGGUAAAGGCCUACCAAGCCUACGAUCUGUAGCUGGUCUGAGAGGACGACCAGCCACACUGGGACUGAGACACGGCCCAGACUCCUACGGGAGGCAGCAGUGGGGAAUUUUGGACAAUGGGCGCAAGCCUGAUCCAGCCAUGCCGCGUGCGGGACGAAGGAGCUUUGCUCUGUAAACCACUGUCGGGAGGGAAGAAAAGCAGCUUUGAGCUGCCGGGACUGUACCUCCGGAGGAAGGAUCGGCUAACUACGUGCCAGCAGCCGCGGUAAAUGAC